GAACUCGCUGUGAAGAUGCAGUGUACCCGCGGCAAGACGGAAAGACCCCGUGAACCUUUACUAUAGCUUGACACUGAACAUUGAGCCUUGAUGUGUAGGAUAGGUGGGAGGCUUUGAAGUGUGGACGCCAGUCUGCAUGGAGCCGGCCUUGAAAUACCACCCUUUAAUGUUUGAUGUUCUAACGUUGGCCCCUGAUCGGGGUUGCGGACAGUGUCUGGUGGGUAGUUUGACUGGGGCGGUCUCCUCCUAAAGAGUAACGGAGGAGCACGAAGGUUGGCUAAUCCUGGUCGGACAUCAGGAGGUUAGUGCAAUGGCAUAAGCCAGCUUGACUGCGAGCGUGACGGCGCGAGCAGGUGCGAAAGCAGGUCAUAGUGAUCCGGUGGUUCUGAAUGGAAGGGCCAUCGCUCAACGGAUAAAAGGUACUCCGGGGAUAACAGGCUGAUACCGCCCAAGAGUUCAUAUCGACGGCGGUGUUUGGCACCUCGAUGUCGGCUCAUCACAUCCUGGGGCUGAAGUAGGUCCCAAGGGUAUGGCUGUUCGCCAUUUAAAGUGGUACGCGAGCUGGGUUUAGAACGUCGUGAGACAGUUCGGUCCCUAUCUGCCGUGGGCGCUGGAGAACUGAGGGGGGCUGCUCCUAGUACGAGAGGACCGGAGUGGACGCAUCACUGGUGUUCGGGUUGUCAUGCCAAUGGCACUGCCCGGUAGCUAAAUGCGGAAGAGAUAAGUGCUGAAAGCAUCUAAGCACGAAACUUGCCCCGAGAUGAGUUCUCCCUGACUCCUUGAGAGUCCUGAAGGAACGUUGAAGACGACGACGUUGAUAGGCCGGGUGUGUAAGCGCAGCGAUGCGUUGAGCUAACCGGUACUAAUGAACCGUGAGGCUUAACCUUACAAC
rnacentral:rRNA from 1 species